UCGCAGAGGCGCUGCUCCACCCUAAGUCCAACAAUGAGUACGGUGGUACGGACAUGGCCCAGGGAGGGUGAAAGGCCCGUGGGGGUGGAGGUCAAGUUGGACAGUGUCAGCUCUGGGAGGACCUUGGAGUCGGGUUGUUUGUGAAUGCAGCCCAAAGUGGGUGGUAAACUCCAUCCAAGGCUAAAUACUAACACGAGUCCGAUAGCGAACAAGUACCGUGAGGGAAAGUUGAAAAGUACUCUGAAGAGAGAGUAAACAGUGCGUGAAGCCGUUCAGAGGUAAACGGGUGGAGUUGAACUGUGAGUCUUGAGGGUUCAACUGGUGACGAUGAUUGGGUUUGGCCAAAUUGGUUGGUGCGUGGGGUCUGCUUAGCUGCAGGUCUUUGCCCUCGGGUGAGGAUGCGCGAUACGUUCGUUGAGCGUUGUGCGCCCCAAGGCGUUCCGGGCCACGUUGCCAGUGCAUUCCUUCUUGACGGUCACCACGACCGACACUGCUGUCUGUCUUUUGUGGUUAAACCGGUUGCAUAUUGUCCUCCGGGCUUUGUGUGAUCGGGAUGGCAGGUAGCUCGUUGGUUUGCUUGCAUUCCUUCGGGUGUAAUCAGCUGACCAUAAUUUGGCUGUGCGGUGUGUCGGGGACGGCGGCUUGAGGUGUGUGCGUGCGUGCCUGUUCUGCUGGCGUGUUCAUGUCAGGUUGCUCAGUUGCUCACGUAGUGGGCCAAGCGGCGACUGGAAUGCGUGCGGUGGGCGGUUGCGUGCGUGGCACUAUUUUGGGCCAACAGUCUGUGGUGUUGCGGUAGACUUUCCACCCGACCCGUCUUGAAACACGGACCAAGGAGAGUAACAUGUACGCGAGUCAUUGGGCGUAACGAAACCCACAGGCGCAGUGAAAGUAAAGGCUUGGCUUGUCCUUGCUGAGGUGAGAUCCUGUCGUUUCCAGCGCGCGGUACUACCAAGCAUCGAGCGGCAGGCGCAUCACCGGCCCGUCCCAUGGCAUUGACUAUUGAUUUAUGAAUUGAACAGUCGGGGCGGAGCAAGAGCGUACAUGUUGAGACCCGAAAGAUGGUGAACUAUGCUUGUGCAGAUUGAAGCCAGAGGAAACUCUGGUGGAGGAUCGAAGCGAUUCUGACGUGCAAAUCGAUCGUCAGACAUGAGUAUAGGGGCGAAAGACUAAUCGAACCAUCUGGUAGCUGGUUCCCUCCGAAGUUUCCCUCAGGAUAGCUGA
rnacentral:rRNA from 1 species